GCCUUGCAAGUUUGCGACGUUAACAUCCAAUUCCCAAACCAAACGGUCAUAUUUUCUUCCGUUUAAAUUUCAAAUCCUCUCUCUCUCUAGAUCUCUCUCUCAAGAUCUUUCUCUCUCGCUCUCUCUGCGUUCUCUCUCUCGCUCUCUCUGCGCGUUCGAAUUUGAACCAGAACUAGAAUUCAGUGCUCCAACAGUCUCCGGUUGAAUUGAAUUACAGAAUACUCGAAAUCGAUUCCUCUUCAGUUGCUCUUGUUUGGGGACGAAGACGGCGAUUGAGGAGACGUCGACGAGCUGCUCUCCUCGGCGAGCGAGCGAAAUUGGCUUCCAGUUUGUUAGGCGUCUGCCCUGCUGCACUGCAGGGUCAGAUAGAGAGGCAGUGAGAGAAAAGAUGAUGAUGAUCUUUUGAGAUUCAAUUUGGAAGCCUUGAUGGGAGAGUUUGAUCUCCUGUCUGAUCCUGCUGCUGCUGCUGCGGCCUCUGUUGCAGAUGAGAUCGAGACGGGGCAAAGAACAACAG